rnacentral:rRNA from 1 species
GAUGAACGCUGGCGGCGUGCCUAACACAUGCAAGUCGAGCGAUUCUCUUCGGAGAAGAGCGGCGGACGGGUGAGUAACGCGUGGGUAACCUGCCCUGUACACACGGAUAACAUACCGAAAGGUAUGCUAAUACGAGAUAAUAUACUUUUAUCGCAUGGUAGAAGUAUCAAAGCUCCGGCGGUACAGGACGGACCCGCGUCUGAUUAGCUAGUUGGUAAGGUAACGGCUUACCAAGGCGACGAUCAGUAGCCGACCUGAGAGGGUGAUCGGCCACAUUGGAACUGAGACACGGUCCAAACUCCUACGGGAGGCAGCAGUGGGGAAUAUUGCACAAUGGGCGAAAGCCUGAUGCAGCAACGCCGCGUGAGCGAUGAAGGCCUUCGGGUCGUAAAGCUCUGUCCUCAAGGAAGAUAAUGACGGUACUUGAGGAGGAAGCCCCGGCUAACUACGUGCCAGCAGCCGCGGU